GAUGAGCUUCUCUCUCGAUCUAUUCAAUAUGGUGGUCAGUCAAGAAAUGUUUUUGCUUGCAAAAAGAUCGUAAAAUGUUGGCGCUACAAGCUCGGAAAAGAUUGUAAAUGAGAUCAGGCUUUUUUAGCUUUACCAUCAUCACAGGAUAACAAGAAGGAAGCAUCGAAACAAAUUCAAAGAUGACUAAUUUUAACAUGGUGGAUACGAAAGUCCUUCCUUGAAAACCUACUUCAGUCAUUGAUUAAAAGUCCAGCGAGAAAUAAAGUGAAAGGCGCGUAGAUUUGAAAACCACGAGAUUGUUUUUGCCAAUGUUUUGAUCUGAGGGUUUAAAGAAUCACUUUUACAAUUGAAACUGGAAUGCAAUGAUAAGAAAGGGAAAUGUGGAAUAAAUGCCUGGAAAGACAAUAUAAACUAUAAUUUGAAACUGGAAUGCAAUGAUAAGAAAGGGAAAUAAACUAUUGCUAAAGCUAAAGAACCACUGAAGCUAAAGAAUUGAGAUACAACAAUCUUUGACUGACUUUAGGUAUAGGUGGCGAUCGAAGGUGGACAGCAAGAUCGAAGCUCAGCAAGAUUGAAGAUUGUUCGAGGAAGAAGGAGUUCGCCGUUGACUAAAAGGUUUAUCUGAACAGCUAUUUGUCAAGAUGAACGUGAAGAGAAAAAAGAUGAGAAUAGAAGACUCGCCCGGCCAAAUUCAAAAUGGCGAUGCCAAAGAAAACCAUCCACGUGGACCGUUCGCGGACCUUUCUGAGCAAGAUUGUUGUGCUGUCUGGUCAAAGUUAAGUAUUUUACUUUGUCUUUGAUGUUUGUGUGCCUUCUGCUAAUUGUUGGCCAGAAAUGACAAAAAGCCAUAUACAAUAUGAAAUAUUCUGCGUACAAGGUUAUCUAAAGUUUCGAGCUUAAUUCUGCCUGCAAUGAUGAUAAUUUUUUACUGAAAAUUUAUGUCAUGAGCAAUUUCCGCACCUAUAGACUGAAGCAGAACUGAACAUUUUGUCAUUAACGUUUAUCUCAACAGCCAGUUAUCAAGACGAACGUCAAGAGAACAGUUGAAAU
rnacentral:lncRNA from 1 species